CUGACUCCUGUAAUAAAAAAUGAAACGUAAUAAUAAAUAGACAAAGUCUAUAAGAUGAAAAGUGUAAAAUCAUAAUAUUAUAUGAUUAAAGGAAAAGAACAUCGUAAAAUAAAACGAUCAUAAUACGGUUAUAAUAUGAGAUCACAACGUGAUCUGAUAAGGUCAUAGCAGGAGAAUGAUCAAUCAAAUGAUUGAAAACUUUAUAAUAGAAUUGUUGUACGACAAUUGUACUAUGAAAUUGAACUAUGAAAACUCAUGAAAGAGUUAUGAAUUGUAAAUAUAGAUUAAAUGAAAUUCGUAUGGAGAAAGUAUGGAACUAGGAUUAUGUGGGAUUUCAACUGAGGACUCAUAUCAGCAGCUGAGUUGUAUGAUUCCUUGUAUGAGCGGGAAAUUUGUACUUAGUUUUAGAAUCACUUAGCUUGCUGGUCAAUAUAGUGGUUAGGUUGACCUAUUCUUUGUAUGGGCGGGGAAUUGUCCGCUUAGCUUCCUAUAUUGAUUAGUGGCCGAGUUUGGUUUGACAACCGCUUAGUUUCUUACAUUGAUAAUCAUUGGAACCUGGUGUUGCGCUAUUUGUUAUAUUCAUGUGGAUAAGGUGAUUCUUUUUUCAUGUGUAUGACGAAUAGGUAGAAAAUAUAAGGUUAAGUACGAGUUCUUAAAACUCAUACUUAUGGUACGUUCAUGACUCAUAAUUAUAUGAAAUGUUUAUGAACCCCUCAGCGAAUGGACGCCAAAGGUCUGACUAGGACAAGUUCUUAAACUCAUAUGAUUGUGGAAAGUUCCUGAACUCAUAAUGUGUGGUAAGUUUAACGAACUGGGUAUAGUUAUGUGUGAAUGGAGAAUUGAAGAUGAUAGAAAUAUAUAGACUUAUUAAGAAAUGGAUCAAUAGAGAAAGUGAAGUUGAUAGUGGAAGCAUAGGUAUUCCAAAUCUUCUAGCAAUGCUAGACUUCAAAGUUUUUGACAUCAAGCUAAAAACGCACUAGGUGCUUUCUGAAAAAUGAAUUUUAUUCUCAACUCCUGGUGACCAUUGUGUAUGAGUGGAUUUCGGGCCACCGACACAUCGUUACCUGUUGAGAUGAUAACACUGAAUUGCAAUGAUUUUUUGAACAGUUUAAGGAAUAGUCUAUGCUAAUUGAUUCGGCUAGACAAAAAUGAUUUGAAUUAUCAAAAUGUAUUUUUUUUAUAUAUCAUCAAUGUAUCAUGGAACCUGAUGCAGAAUGAUAAAAAUGAUGGAGUUAUCAAUGCAGAAUUACUUAGUGUGGUAUGUGAUCUUAGGAUCGUCAGACCACUAUGGAAUGAUGUAGUAUGACAAAGUCACAAAAUGAUGAAAUCCUCAAACGGACUCUAAAUACAGUGCGGUAUCAUGACGUCAUAAAAUGAUUUUAAGAAUUUUAAAGAUAAAUUAUUACCAACUGAAUGUGGCUAGCAAUGUUUCGAUUGAAAUUCGAAUUAUUUGAUAUGCGUCUAAGCUAUUUGAUUCAGCUAGACAAAUGUUUAUGAAAAUUCAAAGUAUCUUUAAAAAAUUUUCCGUACCGAAUUGUUUUGGUGCGGAACCUUAUGAUAAGACUGAGGUGAACUAUGUUGUUUGGAUAAAAUAAUCUAAUCUAGUAGCGUAAAUAUUCGCUAAACAUGAUUGAUACGUUAUGCAUGACAUAAGCGUACGAUAGACUAAUCACCAAAAAGUACUAGCAACGGUAGUUUACCUUCUUUGUGAUUGUAAACAUACCUAGUAAUUUACUGUUUUGCGAUAUAAAUAUCGUUAAAACUACGUGUUCAUGGUCUAUAUGACCCCUCAAUAUGAUUUGAAAAGUUUUAACUCCUUAGACUGAAGUCAUGGAAGAAUGUGUUAGUAGCAGAACUUCCCAUAGUAGUAAACAAGAGGUACUCAUUAAAUUGAGCUUGAAAUUAAGUAAAUGUUAAUUUGAAAACCUAGUUUUGCUGAAUAAAAGGAGUGGUGAUUAGUGGACUGUAAUUUCGAGGACGAAAUUCUUAGAAGAAGGGGUGAAUGUGACAACCCGAAAAUUUAGACAAUUUUAUAAAAUCUUAAAAGAUUGAAUAAAGGUUAAAUAAUAAACCUAGACAUAAAAUAAGUGUAUGGAUUUGACGUUUCUCUAAAGGAAUUUUAAGGAUUUUAAUUUUUUUGGAGAAGAACUUGAAUGAUUUGAUAGACUAAGUGAUAGUCUGAUAAUGAGGUAUAUGUUUAGUGUAUGAGUUCAUAAGAUUUUGUGUAUGUGGUUCUAGUAUUUUAAUUAUAUACUAGUGACCUAAUCUAAGAAUUG
rnacentral:lncRNA from 1 species